AGUUGGGAGGGAGGAUCCAUCCAGGAGAACUCAGCAGAACCACACAUGAACUCAGCACAAAUGUCCGUCAGAGCAAACACAUCAACGAGAAAACACUUAAGCCGCGAUUCCACAAGCAUCUACUCGGCGCGGUACGGUUCGCCACUAUUGUAUCUGACUCGGCUCGUCUCGGUUUAGUUGUUUUUCCAUAUAGCGUCAUCGUGGGUGGAGUCGUCAUAGCGCAGCGAGCCGAAAGUCCCUUAACGUCAUUUGCGUGCGACACAAACGCAACAUAACGGAGACGAUGGUUCACCUGCUGCUCAGUCUGUGGCUUUCUGUCAGAUUCAAAGUAAUAGAAGAGUCGGAGAAAGCUGAGAGCAGCGAGUCGGAACACUCAGGAGACACUCAGGAGAGUUUGGGAGGCGAUGCAGCAGUAUCAAGCUGAAGACGAGGAUAUGAACGAGACGACAUAUGAGGAUGCUCUCUGAUGAGACUUCAUGGGAUUUACCUGAAGCAGCAGCACAUGAGCCUGCAGUGGUACAAGGUGUAGAGGAGGAGGACAGAGAUGUACAGGAUGCACUGAUGCAGUACGUGUCAUGCAAAAGUUAAGUUAUUCUUCUCCUUUUACUUCUGUUUUUCUGUCCCCGGACCGCUAUUGUUUUCUUUAAUGCAAUUCUGACAAUAAACUUUUGUACCUUUUGCAGAUGUGUCUGUGCUAUUGUUUUAUUUGUGAAGGUUAGCAAGAUUACAUGACAAAUUAAACACCAAAACAUUAAAACAGCUGUUUUAAGAAUAUUCCAGUUUGAUAAAUCAGUAUUGCUUUGGUGUAAUUCAGUCAACGGAAUUAUGAACCAUAAAGGAGUUUGUGUUAAAACAUGUUAAAUCCCAUUAAACAUAAAUGCAUUAUUAGUGUGACAGGAGGUCGUCUCCCUCCUGGCCGCUGUUGGGCGCCGUGCCAGCGGUGCGAGUACCGUAAUCGCUGGGCGGUACCAUGCGCCCUUUAUAUUCAGGUGUGCAGCGGUGGAGCUUCCUGUCCUCCGCUCCCUGCUUGCUUCCGUGGUGGCUGUGGUUUGGCAUGACGGCGUUGGUGGACGCAGCCGUUCUCUGGUGUAUCCAGCUGUUGUGAUUGCCGUCAAGGCAUGCUGUCUGAAUACCGUGGCUGAGUGCUGGGGUGAAUUCCCCGGGGUGAAGCGGGGAUCUGCUGGAGCCCUGCUGGGCAUAGGAUCACAGGCUCGCUCUGGGUGUGUGUGGGUGUGUGUGAGCCGUAUUCUUGUGGCUCACACCCUCCAGUUGCCAGGUACGUGACGGGUUGGUUUCCCCAGCCGCUAUUCUGAUUUUAUGUAAUGAGUUUUUUAACUCAGUGUUAUUUUUCUUUCCAGUUAACAGCCCGGCAUAAUCGGACUGCCACCAUCACUUCAAGCUGAGCUGCUGUUUUGGUUCUCUUUAAUAUUUGUUUGGUGAACUGUUUAUGUUUUUUUCAUUCAGUUGUUUGCGGCGGCUUGGAGCGGACUUCUCAGCCCAGCAGGGCUGAGUGCCGUCUGCGUCCACUCCGUGCAGAGGCUGGUUGUGUUGCUGCUGUGUCAGAACUUGUACAGCUGCAAGGGCUACUUCAGUUGAUGGUGUUUUGUUUUCUUUGUUAUUUGGAAAUUAAUUCAGGUAUUUCCUUUUGGUGUCUUGGUUUGCUUUGUUGCAUUAGUUUAAUUGUGUUUUUGUUAUUUUCUUUGUGAGUUUAUUUAGCCUCAUGUAUUGAUUUAAUUCAUCAUUUAUUGUUCUUUGGUUUUGUUUUCUUUUGUCCACACCAGUUAUGGUUAGUUUGGGCAUGUUUUAUUAAUCUUUGUCUCUGUCUUCUGUGUACAGGUGCUGUGGCUUACUGUGGCAGUUAUUUCCUGCUGGUGGUGUCUUCUUCACGGUCCCCCCUUUCUUUUGGUUUUGUGUGUGUAUUAUUUGCAGUGUCACGGGUGAUUCAUUUGAGGAUUCCUCUCCCCUUUGUGGUUGUCCUGCCGCAGGGUAAACCCCAGCCUGGGUUUUUUUUUUUAUUCCUUGUUGCCCAUUCUUUCUUUUAGUUAGUAUAUGUUAACUGGUGUGUGACAUUAUUUCCUUCCUCACAAAUUGUUAAUAAACAUUGUUAAAUUUGAA